rnacentral:lncRNA from 1 species
AAAGUUUUUAAAGCGUUCAAAGAGUAAAGACUUGCCAGAGGAAAUUUACACAUACAAUCCUGUAACAGAACCAGAAUUGAAUUCAAAACGAUGCAGGACAAGCACCAAAAAAAUAAAUGAAAGUAAGGAACAAGAGAGUCAAUUUAGCAAAAAAAAAAGCAGAAAAAAAAAACAUAAAGAUAAUGAUGAACCUAACCAAGAGCCACCCCUUGCAGUUACCAAAAAAUCCAAAAAAAAUCUGAAGCAAAAUGAAAAUGUCAAAGCCAC